CAAGCCCACUUUCACCCCGAAGUCAAACUCACCCCUUCAGGAGGCUUAGAAAUGAUGCCUUCUCUUCCCUGAAAACUGGUGUCAGCUUCCCUUAGCCAAUGGCCUGGGCCAGGCACCAUUUCAUCUGCUCUGAGAGUCUGGGCUUGGCUUGGUGCGUGGUGUGAGGGCCCCUUGCCCCACGGCCCCUAUGGCUGUUUGCCUCUUCCUAGUCCCAGGGGCUACUCUUCCCUUCUCCGUGGUACAGCCUCUCUUUCCUCCUGGCACCCCCCACUCUCUCCUCUAUUGGUACCUGCCCUGCUUUCUCCUCUCCUCUGGCAUCCCCAGGAGCCUCCCUGCCCUGCCCCUCACCUCUCUCUCCACAUCUCCCCGCUCGGCCGCUAGGUCCCGGAGGCUCUUGCAUAGGGCCGUGGUCUCCCUCUGAUGGGCCGUGAUGGCGUCCUCAAACUGGGCCUGGAGGGCCUUCAGCUCCUCAGUCGUGGCACUGAUGGUGGCCUGCGGGGAGAAGGGAGCCCACAGUGGCACCAGGGAGCUGGGCCCAGCAGUGGAGGGUGAGGCUGCUGGGAUGAGGAGACGUCCACGG
rnacentral:sRNA from 1 species